UACGUAGGGUGCAAGCGUUGUCCGGAAUUAUUGGGCGUAAAGAGCUCGUAGGCGGUUUGUCACGUCUGCUGUGAAAUCCCGAGGCUCAACCUCGGGCCUGCAGUGGGUACGGGCAGACUGGAGUGCGGUAGGGGAGAAUGGAAUUCCUGGUGUAGCGGUGGAAUGCGCAGAUAUCAGGAGGAACACCGAUGGCGAAGGCAGUUCGUC
rnacentral:rRNA from 1 species